rnacentral:snoRNA from 19 species
GGCGAUGACGAACCUCACGAUAGCUGAAGGGUGAUGAGGGGCAUACUGGCCGAGC